AAACUUAAAGGAAUUGACGGAAGGGCACCACCGGGAGUGGAGCCUGCGGCUUAAUUUGACUCAACACGGGGAAACUCACCAGGUCCGGACACAAUAAGGAUUGACAGAUUGAUAGCUCUUUCUUGAUUUUGUGGGUGGUGGUGCAUGGCCGUUCUUAGUUGGUGGAGUGAUUUGUCUGCUUAAUUGCGAUAACGAACGAGACCUUGACCUACUAAAUAGCUCUACUUGCGAUUGCAGGUAGCUAGCUUCUUAGAGGGACUAUCUAUUACAAGUAGAUGGAAGUUCGAGGCAAUAACAGGUCUGUGAUGCCCUUAG
rnacentral:rRNA from 1 species